rnacentral:rRNA from 1 species
GAUGAACGCUGGCGGCGUGCUUAACACAUGCAAGCCGAACGGUAAGGCCCUUCGGGGUACACGAGUGGCGAACGGGUGAGUAACACGUGGGUGAUCUGCCCUGCACUUCGGGAUAAGCCUGGGAAACUGGGUCUAAUACCGGAUAGGACCACUGCCUGCAUGGGUGGUGGUGGAAAGCUUUUGCGGUGUGGGAUGGGCCCGCGGCCUAUCAGCUUGUUGGUGGGGUGAUGGCCUACCAAGGCGACGACGGGUAGCCGGCCUGAGAGGGUGACCGGCCACACUGGGACUGAGAUACGGCCCAGACUCCUACGGGAGGCAGCAGUGGGGAAUAUUGCACAAUGGGCGCAAGCCUGAUGCAGCAACGCCGCGUGAGGGAUGACGGCCUUCGGGUUGUAAACCUCUUUUAGUAGGGAAGAAGCGAAAGUGACGGUACCUGCAGAAAAAGCACCGGCUAACUACGUACCAGCCGCCGCAGUAA